AUGAACCGUUAUAACCGGCGAUACCCGAAUGGGGAAACCCAGUGUGAUUCGUCACACUAUCAUUAACUGAAUCCAUAGGUUAAUGAGGCGAACCGGGGGAACUGAAACAUCUAAGUACCCCGAGGAAAAGAAAUCAACCGAGAUUCCCCCAGUAGCGGCGAGCGAACGGGGAGGAGCCCAGAGCCUGAAUCAGCAUGUGUGUUAGUGGAAGCGUCUGGAAAGGCGCGCGAUACAGGGUGACAGCCCCGUACACAAAAGCGCAUGUGCUGUGAGCUCGAUGAGUAGGGCGGGACACGUGGUAUCCUGUCUGAAUAUGGGGGGACCAUCCUCCAAGGCUAAAUACUCCUGACUGACCGAUAGUGAACCAGUACCGUGAGGGAAAGGCGAAAAGAACCCCGGCGAGGGGAGUGAAAAAGAACCUGAAACCGUGUACGUACAAGCAGUGGGAGC
rnacentral:rRNA from 2 species